rnacentral:rRNA from 1 species
AUUGAACGCUGGCGGAAUGCUUUACACAUGCAAGUCGAGCGGCAGCGCGGCCUUCGGGCUGGCGGCGAGCGGCGAACGGGUGAGUAAUGCAUCGGAACAUGCCCAGUCGUGGGGGAUAACACUUCGAAAGAAGUGCUAAUACCGCUUACGUCCUGAGGGGGAAAGCGGGGGAUCGCAAGACCUCGCGCGAUUGGAGUGGCCGAUGUCAGAUUAGCUAGUUGGUGGGGUAAAGGCCUACCAAGGCGACGAUCUGUAGCUGGUCUGAGAGGAUGAUCAGCCACACUGGGACUGAGACACGGCCCAGACUCCUACGGGAGGCAGCAGUGGGGAAUUUUGGACAAUGGGGGCAACCCUGAUCCAGCCAUUCCGCGUGAGUGAAGAAGGCCUUCGGGUUGUAAAGCUCUUUCGGCAGGAACGAAACGGUGGGCUCUAACAUAGUCCGCUAAUGACGGUACCUGAAGAAGAAGCACCGGCUAACUACGUG